CAGGGUUUUGAAGAACAAAUAAUCAACAAAUUACAACACAGCUAACACUCCCAUUCAUUACAUCGGAAAUCCUCCAGGAAAAUACAAUUUUAUAAAACAUAUCACAGGGACCCCAAAACAUGCAAUAACCCCAUAAAUAUAUAAUCGGAACUGGGGGAUCUGCGUGAACCACAUAUCCAAAAUUCACCCAGAUCCAUUCAGUAGUUUGGAAGAUACGGUUUAAUGCAGAACAUAUACAGGCUAUAUGAAAAAUAAUUACUGUUAAAUGUGUCCCUGUUCUGUAGUUUAAAACUACUGAACGAUGUCUUUGUGCACCAAAUACCGGCGAGAAGCACCGAGUUAAAAUGGCCGCCAUCCAUUGUUCUCACCAUGUGUUUCAUCUAUUGUUCUCACCAUAUGCCUCUGAUACAUGAAAUGGUGGCCACCCAGUAACUCCACAGUUUGUCUGGUAAUCUAUCCAGCCGAACCAACAGAUGAAACACAUGGGGAACAGUGCAACAAACGAAGGGAAUCAAAAAAAAUUUGGACAAUAGUCAUAUUUGUGCACAAUCUCCAGUUUUGUCACAGGGCACAAAUAGUGUUUUCAAAUGCCAUAUAUCCCAGGGCCAUAGUCAGAAGGUAGGAGGUGGGCAAGCAGCCCUCUCCAAUGCCCAGUGGCAAAUGGCAGUUUGUCACACUGACCUCUCAGUUUGACUUGUGAGGGUAUUGCCCCUGAAUUACAAUAUUAUUUAAGUACCUCUUAGCUAUUGAUAACUGGUUUAAAUAUAGCAGCUUGUUAUCUGGUAGUUUCUAGUGUAGAAAAUAUCAAUCUGUAUUCUAUCACUUAGAUCUGUGUAACAUAUGUUGUAGGUGUGAAACAAUAUUACAAGUGACCGAUGUAGUAAAUUUGAAUCAAAGUUCCAUUUGCAAAAAAAAAUACUUGCCCAUCUUCUGUGGGUUAUUGCAUUUUUAAGAUGUAGACUUAUUGUAUCACACUAGCCAUGCACAGGUAGAUUGUCUGGCACGUUGCUUUG